GGGUGGCAGGAAUGAUGAAACAAUUAAAUGCGUGAUGGGGAAUUCCUUUGUGAGCUCAACUAUUAAUGCUUAUUGAUAUACUGACUAUGCCACCC